rnacentral:rRNA from 1 species
AAUGGCUCAUUAAAUCAGUUAUCGUUUAUUUGAUAGUACCUACCAACUACUUGGAUAACCGUGGUAAUUCUAGAGCUAAUACAUGCUAAAAACCCCGACUUCGGGAGGGGUGUAUUUAUUAGAUAAAAAACCAAUGCCCCUCGGGGCUCCUUGGUGAUUCAUGAUAACUCAACGGAUCGCAUGGCCUUGCGCCGGCGACGGUUCAUUCAAAUUUCUGCCCUAUCAACUUUCGAUGGUAAGGUAUUGGCUUACCAUGGUUUCAACGGGUAACGGGGAAUUAGGGUUCGAUUCCGGAGAGGGAGCCUGAGAAACGGCUACCACAUCCAAGGAAGGCAGCAGGCGCGCAAAUUACCCAAUCCCGACACGGGGAGGUAGUGACAAUAAAUACUGAUACAGGGCUCUUUUGGGUCUUGUAAUCGGAAUGAGUACAAUUUAAACCCCUUAACGAGGAACAAUUGGAGGGCAAGUCUGGUGCCAGCAGCCGCGGUAAUUCCAGCUCCAAUAGCGUAUAUUAAAGUUGUUGCAGUUAAAAAGCUCGUAGUUGAACCUUGGGCCUGGCUGGCCGGUCCGCCUCACCGCGUGUACUGGUCCGGCCGGGCCUUUCCUUCUGGAGAGCCGCAUGCCCUUCACUGGGUGUGUCGGGGAACCAGGACUUUUACUUUGAAAAAAUUAGAGUGUUCAAAGCAGGCCUUUGCUCGAAUACGUUAGCAUGGAAUAAUAGAAUAGGACGUGCGGUCCUAUUUUGUUGGUUUCUAGGACCGCCGUAAUGAUUAAUAGGGAUAGUCGGGGGCAUCAGUAUUCAAUUGUCAGAGGUGAAAUUCUUGGAUUUAUUGAAGACUAACUACUGCGAAAGCAUUUGCCAAGGAUGUUUUCAUUAAUCAGUGAACGAAAGUUAGGGGAUCGAAGACGAUCAGAUACCGUCGUAGUCUUAACCGUAAACUAUGCCGACUAGGGAUCGGGCGAUGUUUCUAUCUUGACUCGCUCGGCACCU